rnacentral:rRNA from 1 species
ACUGAGUGGCGAACGGGUGAGUAACACGUGGGUGAUCUGCCCUGCACUUCGGGAUAAGCCUGGGAAACUGGGUCUAAUACCGGAUAGGAGCCAUUUUUAGUGUGAUGGUUGGAAAGUUUUUCGGUGUAGGAUGAGCUCGCGGCCUAUCAGCUUGUUGGUGGGGUAAUGGCCUACCAAGGCGGCGACGGGUAGCCGGCCUGAGAGGGUGGACGGCCACAUUGGGACUGAGAUACGGCCCAG